rnacentral:lncRNA from 1 species
CUUUUUCCAGCUUUAUGGCUUGCUCCGAUGAUGUCUGAGGGAGGUGCUUCUUCAGGGGUGGAAGUUCUGCCCCUCUGUCUAUCCACCAAAUGCUGAGAGACUGAGAGAGAUUUGGCAUAUCUGAUUCCUGUCAUCAGUAGAACCAGGAAGCUGGGAGAAGCAUGAAAAUUGGUUUUGGAAAUAGAUGACUUUCCCAAAUCAUUUGGAUAAACAGAAUUCAAACAAGUUGGAAGAAAUGUUCCUUUAUGAAAGGUGGUUAAAGGAUAGCAAAGGGUUUCCCUGGCCUUACAUCACCCAUUUCUCCUGCAGCAACUCUUCCUGUAGCUUCUCUAUAGUACAAGAAAGGAUAUAUUUACUUUCCAUGGCAGAAUAUCCUUGGAACAGACUUUAUUAGGGUAAAAGAGGAAGAAAAUGGAAACCAAUUAUGUUCAAGUCUCU